UACGGAGGGUGCGAGCGUUGUCCGGAUUUAUUGGGUUUAAAGGGUGCGUAGGUGGCCCUGCAAGUCCGUGGUGAAAGCCUGCUGCUCAACAGCAGAACUGCCAUGGAUACUACAGGGCUUGAGUCCAGACGAGGUUGGCGGAAUGGAUGGUGUAGCGGUGAAAUGCAUAGAUACCAUCCAGAACCCCCGAUUGCGUAGGCAGCUGACUAGGCUGGUACUGACACUGAGGCACGAAAAGCGUGGGGGAGCGAACAGG
rnacentral:rRNA from 1 species